rnacentral:rRNA from 1 species
GACGAACGCUGGCGGCGUGCCUAAUACAUGCAAGUCGAACGAACCGCGACUAAGUUCUUUCACCAGGCCAAGGUGAGUGGCGAACGGGUGACUCAUACGUGGGUAACCUACAUCAUAGUGGGGAAUUCGAGAAGGAAACGCCAACACCUACCACUUAGGACAUAGGAACAGAUGAUUCGGUGAGGAAAGGUGUCGCAACCUAUCGCUAAGGGAUGGACCCGCGGUGCCUUAGCUAGUUGGUAGGGUCAAGGCCUACCAAGGCGAUGAUGCCUAGCCGACCUGAGAGGGUGAUCGGCCACAUUGGGACUGAGACACGGUCCAGACUCCUACGGGAGGCAGCAGUAGGGAAUCUUCCGCAAUGGGCGCAAGUCUGACGGAGCAACGCCGCGUGAGUGAUGAAGGUCUUCGGAUCGUAAAGCUCUGUUGUUAGAGAAGAACAGCUCAGAGAGUAACUGUGAAGGGUGUGACGGUAUCUAACCAGAAAGCCACGGCUAACUACGUG